rnacentral:rRNA from 1 species
ACCAGACUCCUACGGGAGGCAGCAGUGGGGAAUAUUGCACAAUGGGGGAAACCCUGAUGCAGCGACGCCGCGUGAGUGAAGAAGUAUUUCGGUAUGUAAAGCUCUAUCAGCAGGGAAGAAAAACCGACCAUAGGGUCGCUAGACGGUACCUGAUUAAGAAGCCCCGGCUAACUACGUGCCAGCAGCCGCGGUAAUACGUAGGGGGCAAGCGUUAUCCGGAUUUACUGGGUGUAAAGGGAGCGUAGACGGCGAUGCAAGUCUGAAGUGAAAGGCGGGGGCCCAACCCCCGGACUGCUUUGGAAACUGUAUGGCUGGAGUGCAGGAGAGGUAAGUGGAAUUCCUAGUGUAGCGGUGAAAUGCGUAGAUAUCAGGAGGAACACCGGCGGCGAAGGCGGCCUGCUGGACCGCUACUGACGUUGAGGCUCGAAAGCGUGGGGAGCGAACAGGAUUAGAUACCCGUGUA